GUUGAGAGAGAGAGAGAGAGAGAGAGAGAGAGAGAGAGAGAGAGAGAAGCAGUAUGGGUGUGAGGAAAGGAUUGUGUCUAAGAGAGAGAGUGUGUGAGAAACGGGGUGAGAGAGGGGGAGAGAGUGAGCUUUUGGGGGAUUUGGUCAGUGUAUGAGAAAGAGUGAUAUUAACGAAGGGGAUCUUGUCUGAUGGCAGGAGAGAGUGAAAGAAGAAAAGAAAAAUACCUGAGAUGUGCUGACACCCUGAAAAAUGAUCAACUUCUCCCUUCUUAAGGAAAUCCAGUCACCACUUGUUUUGAAAUCACUUCAGAGGGAAGUUUGCAAUGAACUUUGGUUAGACUGAUAUUGAUACAGUGUGUGUGUGUGUGUGUGUGUGUGUGUGUGUGUGUGUGUGUGUGUGUGCGAUAUAGAAGUAGAGAAAGUGUGGGAGUGUGUCUGUAAGAGAGAGAGAGAGAUAGAGUUUGUGUGCAUGAGAGAAGAAGUGUGUAUGUGUGUGUGUGUGUGUGUGUGUGUGUGUGUGUGUGUUUGUAUGUGUGUGCGUUUUAUGUGUAUAGAAGGAGAAGAGAGGUGAAGAGAUGUGUGUGUGUGUGUGUGUGUGUGUGUGUGUGUGUGUGUGUGUGUGUGUGUGUGUGUGUGUGUGUGUGUGUGUGUGUGUGUGUGUGUGUGUGUGUGUGUGUGUGUGCAAGAGAGAGAGAUAGAGGUUAAGAAAGUUUGCUUAUGUACGUGUGUGUGCAUGGUUGUGUGUAUGUUUGUGCGUGCGAGAGAGAGAGAGCUAAUGGUCAUCACUCUAAACUGUUGGGCAGAGAUACAGGUGUCUGUUGCCCUUGGACCUGUUUGACUGCAAGUUCCAGAAUAGGUUGCUCAGUAAUUCCAUUCAAUUAGUCUGUUCAUUCAAGGCUCUAACACCUAGUUAGUCUGUUCAGUCAAGGCUCUAAAACA